GAUGAACGCUAGCGACAGGCUUAACACAUGCAAGUCGAGGGGCAGCGGGGGAGUAGCAAUACUCCCGCCGGCGACCGGCGCACGGGUGAGUAACACGUAUGAAACCUGCCCGUAGCAGGGGGGAUAAGCGGAAGAAAUUCCGUCUAAUACCGCGUAACAACCCUUGGAGGCAUCUCCUCGGGUUUAAAGGAAGCGAUUCCGGCUACGGAUGGUCAUGCGUCGCAUUAGCUGGUUGGCGGGGUAACGGCCCACCAAGGCGACGAUGCGUAGGGGUUCUGAGAGGAAGGUCCCCCACACUGGUACUGAGACACGGACCAGACUCCUACGGGAGGCAGCAGUGAGGAAUAUUGGUCAAUGGCCGCAGGGCUGAACCAGCCAAGUCGCGUGAGGGAUGACGGUCCUAUGGAUUGUAAACCUCUUUUGUCAGGGAGCAAAGGGCGCCACGUGUGGCGCUUUGCGAGUACCUGAAGAAAAAGCAUCGGCUAACUCCGUGCCAGCAGCCGCGGUAAUACGGAGGAUGCGAGCGUUAUCCGGAUUUAUUGGGUUUAAAGGGUGCGCAGGCGGAAUGUCAAGUCAGCGGUAAAAUUUCGGGGCUCAACCCCGUCGUGCCGUUGAAACUGGCGUUCUUGAGUGAGCGAGAAGUAUGCGGAAUGCGUGGUGUAGCGGUGAAAUGCAUAGAUAUCACGCAGAACUCCGAUUGCGAAGGCAGCAUACCGGCGCUCAACUGACGCUCAUGCACGAAAGCGUGGGUAUCGAACAGGAUUAGAUACCCUGGUAGUCCACGCAGUAAACGAUGAAUACUAACUGUCCGGGCAGAAUGAUGCCUGGGUGGUACAGCGAAAGCGUUAAGUAUUCCACCUGGGGAGUACGCCGGCAACGGUGAAACUCAAAGGAAUUGACGGGGGCCCGCACAAGCGGAGGAACAUGUGGUUUAAUUCGAUGAUACGCGAGGAACCUUACCCGGGCUCAAACGACGGAUGGAUGUUUCUGAAAGGAGGCAGUCCUACGGGACAUCCGUCGAGGUGCUGCAUGGUUGUCGUCAGCUCGUGCCGUGAGGUGUCGGCUUAAGUGCCAUAACGAGCGCAACCCCCAUCGCCAGUUACCAGCAAGUAAAGUUGGGGACUCUGGCGAGACUGCCGGCGCAAGCUGUGAGGAAGGCGGGGAUGACGUCAAAUCAGCACGGCCCUUACGUCCGGGGCGACACACGUGUUACAAUGGCAGGUACAGAGAGAAGCGAUGCGGCGACGCAGAGCGGAACUUCAAAGCCUGUCUCAGUUCGGAUUGGAGUCUGCAACCCGACUCCAUGAAGCUGGAUUCGCUAGUAAUCGCGCAUCAGCCACGGCGCGGUGAAUACGUUCCCGGGCCUUGUACACACCGCCCGUCAAGCCAUGGAAGCCGGGAGUGCCUGAAGUGUGCAACCGCAAGGAGCGCCCUAAGGUAAAACCGGUGACUGGGGCUAAGUCGUAACAAGGUAGCCGUACCGGAAGGUGCGGCUGGAACACCUCCUUUCUGGAGCGGAGACAGCGGUCUCCGGGUCUGAAAGAAAGUCUGACGAAAUAUAGAAGGCUGGCACACGGAUAUGGAAAUGUCCGGCGGGGUUCACGGACUCCGUACUGCUUCGGAAGUUGCAACUAUCAUAAUUAAUCCCGUGAAACGGAUUCACAGCGGUCCUUCCUGAAGGGAUUAAGCACAGUCCCUUAGCUCAGUUGGUUAGAGCGCUACACUGAUAAUGUAGAGGUCGGCAGUUCAACUCUGCCAGGGACUACACAAGAAAGAGGACAUUGACAUACUGGAAGCGAAGAUACGCGAGACUCCAUUGAAAAAAUAUGGAGCUUGUAAAAUCGAAGCAAACACAACGAGUAAAUCAAAUCAAGCGAAACACGAGGCAACUCUGUUUCUUUGAAUCGAGUCACAACAAUAGGACGAUUUCAGAGAGCGAGCCGAGUGAUGUUCGAACCGAUUGAAAAAUACUAAGGUCAUAAAGAAAGGAGAUAAGGGCACAUGAAGGAUGCCUGGGCUCUCGGAGGCGACGAAGGACGUGAUAAGCUGCGAAAAGCUGCGGGUAGGAGCAAAUAUCCCUUGAUCCGCAGAUGUCCGAAUGGGGCAACCCACCGGCUUCAGGCCGGUACCUCCCUAGUGGAGGGGCGAACCCGGGGAACUGAAACAUCUCAGUACCCGGAGGAAGAGAAAAUAAACCAAUGAUUGCGCAAGUAGUGGCGAGCGAACGCGCAAGAGCCCAAACCGGCCGCGUUUCGGCGCGGACCGGGGUUGUAGGACCGUCGACGAAUGGACAGCGGGCGCAUAGCCGAACCUUCUGGAAAGGAGGGCCGCAGCGGGUGAGAGCCCCGUAGGCGAAAUGCAAAGGCUGACAGAGACGGCACCUGAGUAAGCCGGGACACGAGGAAUCCUGGCCGAAUCCGCGGGGACCAUCCCGUAAGGCUAAAUACUACCGAGAGACCGAUAGCGAACC
rnacentral:rRNA from 1 species